ACCAACUUUAAAGCCAAGCAAACAUAGGUUAAAAUAAUUAUUUUUAACGAAUUAGAUAGCUUUGAUAAUUUUUUAUAGACAAAAUAUAAAUAUUAAAAAGUUUGUUAGUGAAGAAGACGCGUUUUUCCAAUUUUUUUUUCGUCUACAUCUUUAUUCAAUCUUCUGUACUUUCACAAUCAUCGAUAGGAGGAAAUCUGGAAUCGUUCGAGUCCGUUCUCGGCUGUAUUGCUGAGAUUUAUAUUAACUUCAAAAUAGAGCGAAGAAAUAUUAACCUUCAGAUGAUUAUUUAUCUGGGAUGGUGCUGAUGGAGGGAUGGCGGAGACACUUGUCCGUGACUGGAUUGCUGAAUAUAAAUCCUUACACACUCCAGAAAUCCAUAGUUUUGGUUGUACAACUUCCCAGAAUAAUGAGUUGAUUCAAGCAAUUUUUACAAUCUUGGAAGAAAAAAGGUAUCAUGAAGAUUUCUUGGAAGCAGUGUGCCACCAGUUCUUCAGUUUCUAUCGAUCGAGAGAAGAAACUCUUCAGACCUUCGCUCGUCAAUAUAUACCUUGUCUCAUAGGCCUGUACUUAAGUAGCAUAGCAAAAGGAAACCGAAAAAAUGUUCGAUGUGUUGAAAUUGUUCUACUUGGAAUCUAUAACCUAGAAGUAAUUGAUGCAUCUGGGAAAUCUGCAUGCUUGUCUUUCAGAAUACCACUGCUGUCUAAGCCUUCCAUUUAUCAUGAACCUAUGAGCUUGUCUCACACUGUCCUAUCAGAGAGGGCAUUAUCUAGAUUAGAAUAUGCUGAAACUCGAACGAUAAAAGUUGGUGCUCAUUCUGAAGUUGAGAAAAUUAAUGCCAGCAACAGACUUCAUGUUAUGACUGUCUUGAUGUGGCUUUAUAACCUCCAUAUUGGAACCAUGUCAACGUUUUCACAUAUGUCUGUGUGCAAAAUGUGCUCUAGAAUUGUUAAACAAGGUUUUAAUAGAACAAAUAGACCUAAUUAUGCUGGUGAAUCUUCAAGUAGUUAUAAUAAUCCCCAUCCUCGUCCAAUUGCUAGGAUUCCUCUAUCUUCAUCUUUUCUUCUGGAAAUCGUUCAUGCAGUGUACUUUGCUACAUUCAAUGGAUUGGCAUCAAUUGGCCUGCAAACACUGGAUGAAUUACAUUCUAGAGCUACUCAAGAAAUGUUAUCCGAUGUGCUCCUGGUAACAAACGCCAUCCGCCAUUCUCUAAAAACAAAUCCAUCAGGCCAGCCUUGUGAUGGUCCAAUGGGUAUAAGUAUUGCUUUAUCUCCAACAACAGUUGUUAGUACUGUUACACGAGCAAUUACUAAUGCCUCUUUCCGAGCAAAGAAAUUGCCAGAUGAUAUUCCCAUCCAAGAGAAAGAUGGCGCUGAAAAUACUCACCUAUCUUCAAUUAACGAGGAAAGUGAGGAACCAGAAGUACAACCUCCAAAUAAAGGUAGAAAGUAUGGCAGUAUUUCGGCUGGAAUAACAAAAGUAGGCGUCUUGCAAUUACGAAAAGGCAAAGAUAAAAAGAAAGACAAAGAUGCCAUAAAUGGGGACACUGUUGACAGUAAGAGCAACGGCAAACUGAACGAAACACCGACUAUUUCAAACAGCGACGAAGAUCUCAAAGUGUUUACAAACGGAGAGACUAUGACUUUGAGUAACUCAUACCCCAGUAGAAUUGACUUACAAUUACCUAAAAGCCCUCUAAUCAGCAUUCCAAAUGAAGACAACUUUGAGUUCAAAGACGCUGUAAGUAAUGCCAAAUUCGUCAAUCAUUCUCGCCAAGGUUCUGAUGUUGUGAUCACUACAGAUGGUGGGUGUGUUUUGAAAACACUUGUAAAUAAAUCGGACUCGUCUAAUGGGCUUCAAAAUUCGGCCAUGCAGACUGCUGUUUAAUAGUGUGAGUGCAUCUUGAAUUAUAUAAAACCUAUUGCCUCAUUUUUUUUGUUGGUUUGAGAAAUUAUUUUGGUACUUUUCUAUUAUAUUGACCGCAGUCUUUUUUAGUUAUGAUCCUAUUUGGCUUACAAAGGUUUAGGAAAUUUCAAUUCAAUGACAUCCGUCUGGUGGUUUUACAAACUGAUGUGAAUGUUUCCCAUACACUGAUUCCUUACAUCAGUGGUUUUCAAAAUUUCUCUUUUAUUUCCAAAUUUAGGUUGCAGAAAUGUUCAUUUUAUCACCAAUACGUCCUAUGGAUAUUUUGCAUUGCAAAUAUCAUAAAAGUUUGCAUUGCAAUUUUUUCUGCUUUGUAAAUUCCAUUUGAAUAUAAGCUUCUUUUUUUUAUUUACACAGCUGCGAAUGGUUUUAAAGUACGAUGAUAAUAGCAUACUUUACUUAAAAUUUAACCUUAACAUGACAGUAUAAUAAUGUAUUUUUAAUGUAUGUCUAAGAAUUUAUGUUCUAUUUUGCAUAAUAGAACAUCAGUUUAUGUUCAGACAUUAUAAUGCUCUGAUGUUCUAUACUUAUUUUGUAUUUGGUGGUAACUGUUGUCUUGCGAACUAAGUGCAGAAUAAAUUUAUAUUGUUGUUGUGACAUUCCUAGCUUUAAAUGUUGUCUUUAUUAAAUUCUGUCAAAUGUGUUUAAAUGUCAUGAACAUUGUCUCACAAAAUUUUGAUAUCAUUGAAACUUUAGUAACUUAACUACUCAAUUGUGAAAUUAAUUUUAUAUACACUACUUCUCAUGGUCACUACUAGCUUAGUGCCAAUUUACCUUCUAAGAUAUUUUAAGUCGUUAAAAGUUUUGAAUACCAGUGUUUGUAUAGAUGUACUUUAAAAUUUUAACACUAUUAUUCAUCCUGGCUAUUUGUAUUAUUAAUCCAUGUUAUAUCUAUAUUCAUCUAUAUUAUCUUCAUUAUUCACAUAUAUUAUCUCUACAAUUGAUUAAGUUUUUUUUUGUUGCCAUUAUAGAUUCCUAAUUAAUGUGCUAAUUUUAAGGAAUGUGCAUCAUAAACAACAGAUUUUUCAGUAUUUUCAACUAUCAUGUUUACCUUCUUCCGCCAAUGGCCAUUAAAUAUAAUUUGUUUAUACAUACACUAAUGUAAGGAAAUGUUUGUUAUACACAACAGAUUUUCCAACAAUUUGUACCAUCAGUGCAAUCGUUUUCUUCGGGUAAAUAUGGUUUCCAGGCCAUUAAAUAUUUCUUUGUUAAUGUAUGUGCUAAUUUAAGAGAAUGCAAAUUAUGCAUGAGUCUUUCCAAAAUUUUGUACCAACAAGUCAUUUAUCUUCUUCAGAUAAAUGUGGUUUCAUGGCCAUUAAAUAUUUCUUUGUUCAUGUAUGUGCUAAUUUAAGGGAAUGCAAGAUUAUACACAACGGAUUUUCUAAUAUUUUGUAUCAUCAGAGCAAUUACCUUUUAGAGGUAUGUAUGAAUCGACGGUCCUAAGGCAUAUCCUUAAGGUGACCUUUCUAGCCUUUUGUUUUAGUUAUUUCCUUGUCUCAUUUUAUUUAGACAUUAUUACAGCGCUAUGUUGUUUUGUUUCCUUCACAUUGUGCUUUAUUGAGUGCAUUUGACACAAUGCAGCUGCAUCUGUCUCUUGUGCCAUUAUAAUUUAACUUUCUAUUGAAAUAUGAAACGAUUAACUGGCAUUCCUAUCUUUAUUUAAGAGACGUUAAAAAAAUAUUAUAAUAUUAUCAUUCUGGCUUUGCUCAAAGCUAUUUUGUGCUCUCUUGCUUAAAUACUUCUUGUUUCAUCAAAAUCUAUUGUGACAUUUUUUUUUUCUUGCCUCAAUAAAGUUUAAUUAUUCUUAUCUUUCUCUUUAAGACAUUUUUACUUCAUUAAUCAAUGAUUUUAAAUCUGAUUGAGUGGUUAUCUUUAAUGAACUAAGAUGUCCAGAUAGAGUUUAACGUACAAAUAUAUAAAUGAACUUAUAUCAUGUGCUCUUUGUGUAAUGGGAUCUUCUAAUUAUUUCAUUUUUUUUAAAAAAAAUUUGGGAGUUUGUAUGCCUUAUCCUCUGACAUUUGUCAUUUAUUGUAAAUGAUUUGGAUAGCAAUAUUUAGUACUUUAUAAAUAUAGUCGUCUGUGAACUUAUUGUAAAAGCAAACAAAUCAAUGUAUAGAGAAAUAUCUACAUGUAUUGUAUUGUUAAGAGUGUAGUACAUUAUGAAUAUUUGAAAUGUACAGUGUUCUUUUUAUUAAAUUGCUGUGUAUAGGAAAACACUACUUCUAAGAGAUUUUAUCUGUUAUAGUGGAUGUUAUAAAUCUUCUAGUAAAGAUUAUUUAAAUAUU
rnacentral:misc_RNA from 1 species